UACUACGGGAGGCAGCAGUGGGGAAUCUUGGACAAUGGGGGCAACCCUGAUCCAGCCAUGCCGCGUGAGUGAUGAAGGCCUUAGGGUCGUAAAGCUCUUUCGCCUGUGAAGAUAAUGACGGUAGCAGGUAAAGAAACCCCGGCUAACUCCGUGCCAGCAGCCGCGGUAAUACGGAGGGGGUUAGCGUUGUUCGGAAUUACUGGGCGUAAAGCGCACGUAGGCGGAUCGAAAAGUUGGGGGUGAAAUCCCGGGGCUCAACCCCGGAACUGCCUCCAAAACUAUCGGUCUAAAGUUCGAGAGAGGUGAGUGGAAUUCCCAGUGUAGAGGUGAAAUUCGUAAAUAUUCGGAGGAACACCUUUGGCGAAGGCGGCUCACUGGCUCCAUACUGACCCUGAGGUGCGAAAAAUGUGGGGAGCAAAAAGGAUUAAAUCCCCUGGUAGCCCCCCCCCUUAAACAAUGAAAUGCCAUUCCGUCGG
rnacentral:rRNA from 1 species